rnacentral:rRNA from 1 species
GAUGAACGCUGGCGGCGUGCUUAGCACAUGCAAGUCGAACGGAAAGGCCCAAGCUUGCUUGGGUACUCGAGUGGCGAACGGGUGAGAAACACGUGGGUGAUCUGCCCUGCACUUCGGGAUAAGCCUGGGAAACUGGGUCUAAUACCGGAUAGGACGAUGGUUUGGAUGCCAUUGUGGAAAGUUUUUUCGGUGUGGGAUGAGCUCGCGGCCUAUCAGCUUGUUGGUGGGGUAAUGGCCUACCAAGGCGUCGACGGGUAGCCGGCCUGAGAGGGUGUACGGCCACAUUGGGACUGAGAUACGGCCCAGACUCCUACGGGAGGCAGCAGUGGGGAAUAUUGCACAAUGGGCGCAAGCCUGAUGCAGCGACGCCGCGUGGGGGAUGACGGCCUUCGGGUUGUAAACUCCUUUCGCUAGGGACGAAGCGUUUUUGUGACGGUACCUGGAGAAGAAGCACCGGCUAACUACGUG